GGGGGGGGCAAGCGUUGUUCGGAAUUACUGGGCGUAAAGGGCUCGUAGGCGGCCAACUAAGUCGGAUGUGAAAUCCCCAGGCUCAACCUGGGAACUGCAUCCGAUACUGGAUGGCUUGAAUCCGGGAGAGGGAUGCAGAAUUCCAGGUGUAGCGGUGAAAUGCGUAGAUAUCAGGAGGAACACCGGUGGCGAAGGCGGUUCUCUGGGCCUUACCUGACGCUGAGGAGCGAAAGCGUGGGGAGCAAACAGG
rnacentral:rRNA from 1 species